rnacentral:rRNA from 1 species
UAGGGAAUCUUCGGCAAUGGGGGGAACCCUGACCGAGCAACGCCGCGUGAGUGAAGAAGGUUUUCGGAUCGUAAAGCUCUGUUGUUAAGGAAGAACGAGUGUGAGAAUGGAAAGUUCAUACUGUGACGGUACUUAACCAGAAAGGGACGGCUAACUACGUGCCAGCAGCCGCGGUAAUACGUAGGUCCCGAGCGUUGUCCGGAUUUAUUGGGCGUAAAGCGAGCGCAGGCGGUUAGAAAAGUCUGAAGUGAAAGGCAGUGGCUCAACCAUUGUAGGCUUUGGAAACUGUUUAACUUGAGGGCAGAAGGGGAGAGUGGAAUUCCAUGUGUAGCGGUGAAAUGCGUAGAUAUAUGGAGGAACACCGGUGGCGAAAGCGGCACUCUGGUCUGUAACUGACGCUGAGGCUCGAAAGCGUGGGGAGCGAACAGG